rnacentral:lncRNA from 1 species
GCAUCUUGUUUACCUUGAUUUGCAGGUUAUUAAUUUCACUUAUAAUGAAGAGUCAUCUAUAGUUACUUUAGAUGAGUUGAUAGUAAGAAAAUUUCUUUAAAGCUCUAGCAUACAAUUUUUCGAGAAACAAAAAAUAUAACAAACGGAGAAAAGCCUAAAAUAUCUUCGAACUAUUGGAAACAAAGAUACACAUCACUCUCUUCAGACCCCACUUGUGGGAUUACACUAGGUAUGUUACAUUGUUACUCUGUUUCACUUACAAAACACUUUUGUUAAGACGUAUAUUGAAUACCUAAAGAAUAAGGCGCAAACAAGUCGUUACAAACUACUAGUCUAGCAGGUCUUACUGUUGCAAAAUAUCAUAUUUUUCUUUUUUCCCAUCA